rnacentral:lncRNA from 1 species
AUGGGCCAGGAUGUAGAUGUUGUGACCCACAUUUCGCGGAGAAGCGGCGUGCUCUUCCUCGCCAUUCUCAUCAUCAUCGUUGUGUUCUACUUCAAUCUCUCCCUGCAGCUGCAGGAGGCGCAGGAUUGGCUGCAUGAUGGUUAUGAUGACGCUCAUCUCGUUGUCAUCCUGGUUCUUCUCGCCUGUGCUGCUCUGCCCCUCUGCCACAUUCUGAUGCUCCUCGGCGUCCGCCUCCCUUCGGUAAGCGGUGAAGGCCUUCUUUGUUGCCGUAGAAGCUUCAAGAAGCUGCUCUCGCACUUCCUCGGUCACUACAGCAACCUCCUUGACUAAAAAAUGGGGAAGAUUGUAUUUGUUUAUGCUUUUGCAUGUCUGGGCUACAUGGUAUAACUGUAUACGUUCUGAUCACAUGUAGUGGUGCGUGUAGUUUAUGGUCCUGACCUUUCUUGUGUGUUUGGUUGUCCUUGUCGUUGGCAUCCUCGUCUUUGCGCUUGCUGCCCAGAUCGCUGGUGUUCACCGUCACAGUUGCCUUGAUCUCUUGCUGGGCCAGCUUCAUCCGCUCGUAAAACACUUUGAAGAACUUCUCUGACUUACAGUCGCCUGUCAGACGGCAGAAAAACGACCGCUGGAGGGAUAGGAAGGACAAUGAAGAAAAAAAGAACAAAAUAGAUCUAGCAUACUGUAAAUGAAUAGAAAAGAGAGGCUGGGAGAGACUGUAACUUUUUGCAUCAAUAAGCUUUUCAUGAUCUCUUUCUCAAAGUCAAAUCAAUAAAAUAUACCAUUUAGAAUUUGAUUAAAACAAAGUUUUUUUUAUAUUUUAUAUUCUUUUUAUCUUAUAUUUUUAUGUAUGUACGUAUGUAUAUAAUAUACAUGCAUACACACACACACACACACACAUACACACACACAUACAUACACGUGUAAAUAGAUCUAGCAUACUGUAAAUGAAUAGAAAAGAGAGGCUGGGAGAGACUGCAGACUCACACCACUGCGGUUACAUAACCUAACACACACACACACAAACUCACAGCAAUUACCACGGAAAUAACCUGGAGAGCCUCCCUCAGCUCACCUGAUUUUACACCAUCUGUCAACACCGUCCCAAGCGCUACAAGACUGGCACAGUCGACACAUUCACACAACAAGCACACAAUUCACACAGAGUGCUCGCUUUCCAAAGAAAACCCUUCAAAUCGUUUGAUUUGAUUUGACUUGCUAAAUCAAACUGUGUUUUAGGAACACAACAUCCCAAUCUAAAUCCUAAAGGAAAACUUUCAGUUCCUUCUAUGAAUAAAAGUGUCCUGUUGGUUAUGUAUUGUUUUUCUCUGGUAUAUCCUGUCCUACUUUCACUCGUUUUUUUUUUUUUUUCUCCUACAUAAGUCAAUAAUCAGCUGAGUGGUAGCUGAGUGGUGGAGGGGAGUAGCAGUGAGAGGCUGCUCAUGCACGCUCGCACAGGACGACAGGAAAAAAGGAGGGGAGAAGAGCGCAGAGGAAAAUCCUGCCCACUUUUCUAGAGCCAAACAGGCACGGAGCGAGUGUGUGAUGCGCGACACAAGGAGGGAGGGCGAGGAGUGCAAGUUAUCAGCUGAAUUCUGGGGCAGUUUUGAAAGCUCGUUACAUAACCAGCCUUCUUUCCAGGUUAACAGUGAACUCAGUCAUUCAGGCAUCUUUCAAACAACAGCGAGCGAAUGAGAAAUGCAACACACCCACAGCAGCACACACACACAUAUGCACAAAGGAGACAUACUUAAAAAUGAUUCAUCUGCUCCAACGCAUCCUGUAAACCUCUGGACGUCAUUGGACAAUGUAUAAAAAAAUUAAGCUCUUUCUGUGAAUGACUUCUUUGUUAAAUGUUCCUCACUCAAGUUAAUUGAAGGCAGUCCCGACACACAGCCAAUCGUUCUGAGAGAUCAAAAUGUGAAGCAAAUCAACAGGUUAUGUAAGACCCCGGAGCGGAGGAGAAGUGGAGUUUAUAGCAUUACGGCAUUCAAAUGUGCAAGUCUCAUGACUGCUCUUAUAAACAAGAUAGCCACAUCAGAUGCGACGCCGCAGUAAACAUGUCAACACCUGACUACCAUAUGACGCACAUCCAGGAAAACGGCAAAACAGUGGAAGGGCUGGGAAAAUAAGCAUGGAAAGUGUUUUCCAGGUGUUUUAGACAGGACUCGUCAAAGUUUUUCAGGCCAAGGAACUCUUUAGUGGAUAAAAAGACGGAGCAGGGACCCCUGUAACAUAAUGUAUAAAACUGAGUGUUGCAUUUAAAGCCUGGUUUAUAAGAACAAUAAUUAGUUAUUAAUGUUUUUUAAAGUUCAUUAUAAUGCUUACAUUGCAAAGUCAUUAUUA